rnacentral:rRNA from 1 species
CAAUAGCGUAUAUUAAAGUUGUUGCGGUAAAAAAGCUCGUAGUUGGAUUUCUACCGAAGAUAGCCGGUCGGGUCUUCGACCUUGUAUCUGGUUUUGUCUUUGGUAUCCUCAUAGGGAACGUUUCUGCGCUUUAUUGCGUGGUGCGGUAUCUAUGACUUUUACUUUGAGGAAAUUAGAGUGUUCACGGCAGGCAAACGCCUUGAAUAUAUUAGCAUGGAAUAAUAACAUAGGAUCUUCGUCCUAUUUUGUUGGUUUCUAGGGCUAAGAUAAUGAUUAAUAGGGAUAAUUGGGGGCAUCUGUAUCAACGCGUCAGAGGUGGAAUUCCUGGAUUGCGUUGCGACAAACUACUGCGAAAGCAUUUGCCAAGGAUGUUUUCAUUGA